AUUGAACGCUGGCGGCAGGCCUAACACAUGCAAGUCGAGCGGAUGAAGCGAGCUUGCUCCUGGAUUCAGCGGCGGACGGGUGAGUAAUGCCUAGGAAUCUGCCUGGUAGUGGGGGAUAACGUCCGGAAACGGGCGCUGAUACCGCAUACGUCCUGAGGGAGAAAGUGGGGGAUCUUCGGACCUCACGCUAUCAGAUGAGCCUAGGUCGGAUUAGCUAGUUGGUGGGGUAAAGGCCUACCAAGGCGACGAUCCGUAACUGGUCUGAGAGGAUGAUCAGUCACACUGGAACUGAGACACGGUCCAGACUCCUACGGGAGGCAGCAGUGGGGAAUAUUGGACAAUGGGCGAAAGCCUGAUCCAGCCAUGCCGCGUGUGUGAAGAAGGUCUUCGGAUUGUAAAGCACUUUAAGUUGGGAGGAAGGGCAGUAAGUUAAUACCUUGCUGUUUUGACGUUACCAACAGAAUAAGCACCGGCUAACUUCGUG
rnacentral:rRNA from 1 species